GCCAGCGUUCCCUAUACCUCCCAGAAAAACCUCUUGGGGGCUCAAUGUCAGUGGCUGGGGUUGCAAAAUUAAGACCUCAUGUGUAUCUUUCUAUCAUACCUCAUGAAUAAGAGGUUUUCAUAAACCUCCUCAGGAUUUCUUCCUUAAUGAUGUCUUUCUCUUUUUCUCUCCUCCAUCCCAAUGAGUUUACAUCUCCACAGGCCUGUGUGUAUGAACACAGGCACUCCCACAGAGCCAUUCCAUCUGCUAUGACGUGCACACAAUUUCCAUAGUACCAGAAUGGCAAUAAAUACUGCUGGAAAAUCUGUUUUCUCACCAACUCAUUGAGACCCUUUCAUGAUUUAUGUUCAACCUGGAGCCCACCAAGGAGUGACAACAAUAAAAAUCCAGCUCAGAGUAAUGGAGUCACUAGGCCAUGCUUUCCUUCACAUCCUCUCGGAAUGAAGAAUAUGAGACUUGCCAGGAUCCUGAACAAGACAUCAUGUUUUCAUGUCUCUUGACUGUAACAGUUUCUCAAAAUUCCCUUGUCCCUGAGGACCUUGACAAUCUUGAGGAGUAGCAAUCAGGCAUUUUGCAGAAUGCACCUCAAUUAGAACUCAUCUGGUUUGCCUCCUGAUUAUAUUGGCAUAAUGGGGUUUGGAGAAGAUAACAAGGAGGAAAGUACAAAUCUCUGCAUCAUACUGAGGGAACAUACAGGCAAUCAACAUGACCACCCUGUUGAUGUUAAACUCUCUCAUCUGACUGAGGUAGUAUUGGUCAUAUUUCUUCACUAUAAAAUUACUCUAUUUUUUCCUCCCUUCCUACACCAUAUUCCUUGGAAGGAGGUCACCAGGCACAGCCCACAUUUAAGGAAUUAGAGGUAUUCCUCUACCUUCCUAACAAAGGAACAUCUAUACAAAUUCUUUGGACUUCUUCAUGGAAUUCCUUGGACAACUGCAUAGAAGAUUUGCUUACUCUUUCUCAUUUAUUUAUUUAUUCAAUCAUCUACUUAUAUCAGUAUGGACUCAUGAAUCUUUAUUUCAUACUUUGAGUUGUCAUUCAAUACUGCUUCCUCAGUUUUUCUAGCUUUCCCCAUAGGAAGACCUUUCAGUUGGCUCUUGUAUUUUUUCGGCAUGCCCCCAUCAUUAAUCAGCCUUAACUUUAA